rnacentral:tRNA from 1 species
UCCUUGGUGGCUCAGAGGUAAAGCGUCUGCCUGCAAUGUGGGAGACCUGGGUUUGAUUCCUGGGUCAGGAA